AAAUUGAAGAGUUUGAUCAUGGCUCAGAUUGAACGCUGGCGGCAGGCCUAACACAUGCAAGUCGAGCGGAAACGAGUUAUCUGAACCUUCGGGGAACGAUAGCGGCGUCGAGCGGCGGACGGGUGAGUAAUGCCUAGGAAAUUGCCCUGAUGUGGGGGAUAACCAUUGGAAACGAUGGCUAAUACCGCAUGAUGCCUACGGGCCAAAGAGGGGGACCUUCGGGCCUCUCGCGUCAGGAUAUGCCUAGGUGGGAUUAGCUAGUUGGUGAGGUAAGGGCUCACCAAGGCGACGAUCCCUAGCUGGUCUGAGAGGAUGAUCAGCCACACUGGAACUGAGACACGGUCCAGACUCCUACGGGAGGCAGCAGUGGGGAAUAUUGCACAAUGGGCGCAAGCCUGAUGCAGCCAUGCCGCGUGUGUGAAGAAGGCCUUCGGGUUGUAAAGCACUUUCAGUCGUGAGGAAGGUGGUAGUGUUAAUAGCACUAUCAUUUGACGUUAGCGACAGAAGAAGCACCGGCUAACUCCGUGCCAGCAGCCGCGGUAAUACGGAGGGUGCGAGCGUUAAUCGGAAUUACUGGGCGUAAAGCGCAUGCAGGUGGUUUGUUAAGUCAG
rnacentral:rRNA from 1 species